rnacentral:rRNA from 1 species
GACGAACGCUGGCGGCGUGCUUAACACAUGCAAGUCGAACGGAAAGGCCCCUUUGGGGGUACUCGAGUGGCGAACGGGUGAGUAACACGUGAGUAACCUGCCCUUGACUUCGGGAUAACUUCAGGAAACUGGGACUAAUACCGGAUAGGAAUCCUUGCUGCAUGGUGGGGGUUGGAAAGCUUCGGCGGUUUUGGAUGGACUCGCGGCUUAUCAGCUUGUUGGUGGGGUAGUGGCUUACCAAGGCUUUGACGGGUAGCCGGCCUGAGAGGGCGACCGGCCACAUUGGGACUGAGAUACGGCCCAGACUCCUACGGGAGGCAGCAGUGGGGAAUAUUGCACAAUGGGCCGAAGCCUGAUGCAGCAACGCCGCGUGCGGGAUGACGGCCUUCGGGUUGUAAACCGCUUUCAGCAGGGGCGAAGCUUGUGGUGACGGUACCUGCAGAUGAAGCACCGGCUAACUACGUG